AGACAGUUGGCGGGGUAACGGCCCACCAAAUCUACGAUCGGUAGCCGGACUGAGAGGUUGAACGGCCACAUUGGGACUGAGACACGGCCCAAACUCCUACGGGAGGCAGCAGUGGGGAAUAUUGCACAAUGGGGGAAACCCUGAUGCAGCGACGCCGCGUGAGGGAAGAAGGUCUUCGGAUUGUAAACCUCUGUCUUCGGUGACGAAAAUGACGGUAGCCGAGGAGGAAGCCACGGCUAACUACGUGCCAGCAGCCGCGGUAAUACGUAGGUGGCAAGCGUUGUCCGGAAUUACUGGGUGUAAAGGGAGCGUAGGCGGGAAGGCAAGUUGAUUGUCUAAACUAUCGGCUCAACUGAUAGUCGCGAUCAAAACUACUUUUCUUGAGUGAAGUAGAGGUAAGCGGAAUUCCUAGUGUAGCGGUGAAAUGCGUAAAUAUUAGGAGGAACACCAGUGGCGAAGGCGGCUUACUGGGCUUUAACUGACGCUGAGGCUCGAAAGCGUGGGUAGCAAACAGGAUUAGAUACCCUGGUAGUCCACGCUGUAAACGAUGAUUACUAGGUGUGGGGGGACUGACCCCUUCCGUGCCGGAGUUAACACAAUAAGUAAUCCACCUGGGGAGUACGGCCGCAAGGCUGAAACUCAAAGGAAUUGACGGGGGCCCGCACAAGCAGUGGAGUAUGUGGUUUAAUUCGAAGCAACGCGAAGAACCUUACCAGGUCUUGACAUCGUAUGCUAUCUGUAGAAGUACAGAGUUCUCUUCGGAGACGUACAGACAGGUGGUGCAUGGUUGUCGUCAGCUCGUGUCGUGAGAUGUUGGGUUAAGUCCCGCAACGAGCGCAACCCUUAUGUUUAGUUGCUACGCAAGAGCACUCUAGACAGACUGCCGUUGACAAAACGGAGGAAGGUGGGGAUGACGUCAAAUCAUCAUGCCCCUUAUGACCUGGGCUACACACGUACUACAAUGGCCGUCAACAGAGGGCAGCGACACCGCGAGGUGAAGCGAAUCUCCAAAAACGGUCUCAGUUCAGAUUGCAGGCUGCAACCCGCCUGCAUGAAGAUGGAAUUGCUAGUAAUCGCGGAUCAGAAUGCCGCGGUGAAUACGUUCCCGGGCCUUGUACACACCGCCCGUCACACCAUGAGAGUUGGCAACACCCGAAGUCGGUAGGCGAACGCAAGAAGCCGCCGCCGAAGGUGGGGACGAUGAUUGGGGGGAAGUCGAAACAAGGUAGCCGUAUCGGAAGGUGCGGCUG
rnacentral:rRNA from 1 species